AUAGCCGGCUAUACUCCACAGUGUCCGCACGCCGCUGAAACCCUUGUCCGAGAUGAAGAUGGGGGUUCGCGGUGUCGUCUUCUUCUCCUCUCCUGCGCAUAAAAAUCCCCAUUUCGUCUCGUCUUCUUCCCGGCCACAGAAAAAUCGAGGCUUCCUUGUGUCGUCAAGUACCAGCAGAUCUCGUCGUCUUGUACAAGACUGAGAUCUCCGUCCCCGUGUGUUGAUUUGAUUUUGCGGCAGACGAGUUGGUCGGUUGCCACACGAUGCGUCGCAGCAGCAAGAGGAAGGCUGCCACGGCCAUGCCGUCCUCUGCUUGCAACCCCGGAGGAAGGAAGAAGGCCGCUGUCUCCUCCGACGGCGGGUCGCUCCCGGACGAGAUGGUAUCGGAGGUGCUGCUGCGGCUCCCCGGCCAAUCCAUCCUCCGCUUCCGGCCGUCUGCCGCUCCUGGGCGGCACUCUUCUCCACCGACGUCUUCCGCAGCCUCCACAUGGCGGAUACCGCCAGCCCCAAGCUACUUUUCGUCUCACCCGCCACCACGGCAACGUCGUCGACCAAGGUGUACUCAUGCUCCCCGUCAGAAGGCAAGGACGACGAUGCUCUGCUCUUCGCCCUCGACUCUGCCUGCGGCAGCUCGAUGCAGCUACUGACGCCAGCACCCUGCCAUGGCCUCUCCCUCCUCUACGACGACGCCGCGCCGGCCUACUACAUCUGCAACGCAGCCACACGGGCAGUCACACGCCUACCGCCUUUCCUCCAUCGUGCCACGUAUACUUGUGCUGGAUUCGGAUUCGACGCCCGGGCAAGGAAGUACAAGGUGGUGAGGCUGAGCAAGGGGACACGCCAUGAGGUCGAGUCCGUAAGGUGUGAGGUGUACACGCAUGGAGAUGGAGGUGGUGAUGGGGAUUGCUGGAGGCCGCCUACCGGAGGAGUACCCCUUGGGUUGCGCAGGUUUGCACGUUCUGCUAUUGCCAAUGCAGCUUUGGACAAUCUACCUCCUGUGUUUGCAAACGGAUCCUUGCACUUGCUGGUCCAGCCUAAUUCCUUCUUCACAAGGCCAAGAGCUGCCGUGAUAUCCUUUUCUCUGUCCGAGGAGACCUUCAGUUUUGUUGGACCACCACCCUUCUGGACGCCGGAGAUGUACUCAUCCACAGCUUUGUCGGCAAGAGAGACAGGGGAACGCCCCUCCAUGCCUGGGACACUAGGAGAGCACCUAGUGCAGAUGGAUAACCAACUCUGUAUGGUCCGAGACCUUCGAUAUAACCCUUCUGGUGGUUGCAUUCUCGAGAUAUGGAAGUUGCUGGAUUCUACCUCCUCUGCCUGGUCACUGAAUCAUCGCAUUAAUUUGUUUGGGCGUGUGGCAAGAGAUUUAUGUCGGACACAGGUUGUCAGAGUUAUGGGUUCUACUGCCAAUGCUGGCUCAAGGAAGAAGAUGAUCAUCGCUACUAGCGAGCACAAAAUUUCUGACAAGUUUCAGAAGAAGAGGCUGCACCAGCUCCACGCGCUUACUCAGCGGCCGAGGAGAUCCGACACCACCGAACCAACGGGUGUUGUCAUCUCGUCGAGUAUUGAACUUGUGGUCAUCCUUUUACUUGAGUUGAAAACAUGUGGAGUUAUGUGUGCAAGAGAGCUGGCCUGAUUGAUGAUUGUAGUGUUGCCUACCCCUGUAGAUGUUUAGCAUCCAGUGUCUUCUAGUUUAUUUUAUUUCAAUCUUAGUGUCUUGUAAUUCAGCUACAGCUAAUUAUAUGCUCAAUUUUGUUGGGAGUUGGUGAUAUUGGAUUAUUUGGUUUUGAGAACCACUCUCUUUUAUUAUUCCAAGAAUGUUAGCUGGGCUUGGGAAUU